rnacentral:tRNA from 1 species
UCCCUGGUGGUCCAGUGGUUAUGACUCUGCACUUACACUGCAGGGGGCACAGGUUCAAUCCCUGGUGGGGAA